UGGGAGAAGCCGAUGGUGAAAAGCAGCGAGAUCGAGGAAAAAACCCAAAAGAGCGAAGGAGGAGAGAGCUCUGGUUCGAUCCAGAAACCCCAUUUCAGACUCGCUAAAGACGACACAAAGCCAUUCCUCCGCGACCCCGUCCAUUCUGCGAUCGGAUCCGAUUGAGACGGAGGAAGCCGUGCUAAGGUUGCCCCCUUUCCCUAAUUCCAAAUGACGGAGGGCAUUUCUGGUAAUUUCUUCUUUCUUUUAAGGGCUGAAACGUAAUCCAAUACUACCAAGACAAUGCGUGUGGCUGUGCGUGUGAAACUACUAAAAUAUAUUUGUUUGGUGGUCCAUGUGUCUACCAUUUCAA